UAGGGAAUCUUCGGCAAUGGACGGAAGUCUGACCGAGCAACGCCGCGUGAGUGAAGAAGGUUUUCGGAUCGUAAAGCUCUGUUGUUAGAGAAGAACGUUGGUAGGAGCGGAAAAUCUACCAAUUGACGGUAACUAACCCGAAAGGGACGGCUAACUACGUGCCAGCAGCCGCGGUAAUACGUAGGUCCCGCUCGUUGUCCGGAUUUAUUGGGCGUAAAGCGAGCGAAGUCGGUUCUUUAAGUCUGAAGUUAAAGGCAGUGGCUUAACCAUUGUACGCUGUGGAAACUGGAGGACUUGAGUGCAGAAGGGGAGAGUGGAAUUCCAUGUGUAGCGGUGAAAUGCGUAGAGAUAUGGAGGAACACCGGUGGCGAAAGCGGCUCUCUGGUCUGUAACUGACGCUGAGGCUCGAAAGCGUGGGGAGCAAACAGG
rnacentral:rRNA from 1 species